CCCAUUUGGGCUGGGAUUGCCCCCAAUAAAUGAUCCUUUUACUGGGCCAGGAGUGGGGAAAGGGAAAGGCCUGGAGGAGGAGUUGUGGGAUGGGAUAUGGGAAAGGGAAUGAGGGAUCUGGAUCAUCCUGGAGGUCCCUUCCAUCCCAAACCAUCCCGGGAUUCCGUGGAGAUCGGAGCAGGAGGAACAGCCGAGCUCCCCGUGCAAGGCCGUAAAAAAUAUGGGAGCCCUGGGAGAGAAACAGGUGGGAUGGGUUGGUGGGAGGUGGGAAAAGGGGGGAAAAGCAGGGAAAAAAGGAAAACUGGCAGGAAAAAAAUCCAGGGUUUCCUGACGAACCCUUGGUUUUCUGGGCUGCAAAUCAAAAUAAUAAUAAUAAUAAUAAUAAUAAUAAUAAUAAUAAUAAUAAUAAUAAUAAUAAUAAUAAUAAUAAUAAUGGUGGUAGUAGUAGCAGGCAGAUGAGUGGAGAAUGCUGAGGGUUGUUUGAAAAAAUACUGAUGGGGGAAAAAAAAAACAUGGAAAGGACCCAAGAUCUGUGGGGGAAAAAAUUUGGAUCAACUGGAUCUAAAAGGGAUCAGCUUGAUCCAAAAGGGAUCAGCUUGAUCCAAAAGGGAUCCAGCUCUGAGUUCUUGCUGGAAAAGCUGGUGAGUUUUUCCCCAAAAAGCCUCAGUGAGGAGACUCCACGGGGGAAUUCCAGGCUCUUCCUGGGGGGAUUUGGGAUCUGAUCCCUGGGAAUGGGAACAGGACAAGAGGGAAUGGCCUUGAGCGGUGCCCAGGGGAGGCUCAGGGUGGGAAAUCUGGGAAAAUCCCUCCUGGAAAAGAGGAAAGGGCUUGGAAAGGGCUGCCCAGGGAGGUUUGGAGUGGAGGUGUCCAAGGAAUUCCUGGACAUUGGUCUGGGAUCGAGCACAGCUUGGACUCAACCUUGGAGAUCUUUUCCAACCUCAACGACUCUGGGAUGUUCCUUUAAGGAAAGAAAAACCCCCAAAUCUAUAAAAGGAAUAAUUCCCAUUCCUUCUCUUCCUGAGCCCGGCGUGGAACUGGAGAUUGUCCAAGCCCUGGAGCUGCACGGGGUGGAGCCGCCGGGGCCGAUGAGUCAACCCCGAGGUCUCGGGGUCCGCCCCGCCCGUGACCUCAUUGCCGGAGCUUUCCCAACCUUUUCCCCAAGAGCCAAACAAGAAAUGUGGGAUCCCUGAGCUGCCCACGGCUCGGGGGGCUGAUCCUCCAAGGUUUUGGGAUGGUGACGCCACCACUGGGAUUGUUAAAUCCCCGUUGGGAUCGGGAACGGGAGCGGGACGGGGAAAAUGGGGCGCACAAAAAUGGGGGGA
rnacentral:lncRNA from 1 species